rnacentral:rRNA from 1 species
GAUGAACGCUGGCGGCGUGCCUAAUACAUGCAAGUCGAGCGAACGGACGAGAAGCUUGCGUCUCUGAUGUUAGCGGCGGACGGGUGAGUAACACGUGGAUAACCUACCUAUAAGACUGGGAUAACUUCGGGAAACCGGAGCUAAUACCGGAUAAUAUUUUGAACCGCAUGGUUCAAAAGUGCAAGACGGCCUUGCUGUCACUUAUAGCUGGAUCCGCGCUGCAUUAGCGAGUUGGUAAGGUAACGGCUUACCAAGGCAACGAAGCAUAGCCGACCUGAGAGGGUGAUCGGCCACACUGGAACUGAGACACGGUCCAGACUCCUACGGGAGGCAGCAGUAGGGAAUCUUCCGCAUUGGGCGAAAGCCUGACGGAGCAACGCCGCGUGAGUGAUGAAGGUCUUCGGAUCGUAAAACUCUGUUAUUAGGGAAGAACAUAUGUGUAAGUAACUGUGCACAUCUUGACGGUACCUAAUCAGAAAGCCACGGCUAACUACGUG